AGGGGGGUGGGGGGGAGGUUUCUAUUGAAAAAUCUUCAUCUAUGGAGAUCCAAGAGUCCAAUAUCAAAUCUGACUUCGGGAACAUGAUCUACCUAUGUGGAUCUACGUUUUGACCGAUCGUUUUGAGGCUACCCAAACCUUCGGUAUUAGUUUGGUGAACUUUAGAUGAUGUUACUGUGGCUGCAGGUACACCUGACGCGGAUGAUGACCCCGUAGUAUUGUAUUUGGGUUAUUACAACUAGAGCUUGUCGCAAUGGUUAUAAUGUGAUGGACCGCGGGUUGUCCAUUCUUUUGUGUAUUUUGUUUAUGGCUUGUGACGUGUGCGUCACUUAUUCUUUUAUAUAAGCCAUCUUGUUGAUAUAUGAUGUAAUGAUGUUAAGCCUUAAACAGAUAGACUUGUGUUGGCUCUUUUUGUAUAAUCAUUAUUAUAUUCCGCUGUAAGGUGUAACUCUGAAUAUCAAGUGCAUGUUAUGGGGCA